rnacentral:lncRNA from 1 species
GUGGGAGAUUAACAGCGGUGCUGAAUAAAUAGGGCACAGGUUUCACGAGAGGCACUCGCCUAUCUUGCUGGGACCACUCGUGGGGAUUUCUUGUCUCUUGUCCCUCCUGCACCGUGUUGCAGAACGUUACAGGGUCUGUGGCGUUUCGUGGGGUUGCUGUUCGGUUCCCCUUGCCUGUGCGGCCCAAUAUCCCAGCUGUCGUGAGCUUCUCUCCUCGUCUUCCUGGCCUGCUCGUCCAAUCUCUGCUAGCUGUCAAGUUGGACUACUUGCUCGAGGCUUCUGCUCGGGGGAUUUUUCACCAAGGAAGUAGGGCAUUCGUCGGGGUAAGCAAGGUAGCUUGAAUAGGAAGUCACCUUGCAUACUUGUGGAUCCAUGAAUUGCUAUACUCUGUGUAUUUGAAGGUAGACAAAUAAAUUAUCUUUUGUAUCAGAU